GUGACAGAAGAGAGUGAGCACACAUGGUGUUUUCUGGCAUGAUGUUUAUAUUUAUGCUUGAAACUAUGUGUGCUCACUGCUCUAUCUGUCAC
rfam:Solanum tuberosum cultivar DM 1-3 516 R44 scf00135_34, whole genome shotgun sequence.